rnacentral:misc_RNA from 1 species
UCCGAGUUGACCCCGGCAGUCUCCUAUGAGUCCCCACCAUCCCGAAGGACCCCGCAUCUCUGCGAGUUUUCCCGUGAUGUCAAACCCAGGUAAGGUUCUUCGCGUCGCAUCGAAUUAAUCCGCAUGCUCCGCCGCUUGUGCGGGCCCCCGUCAAUUCCUUUGAGUUUUAGCCUUGCGGCCGUACUCCCCAGGCGGGGCGCUUAAUGCGUUAGCUACGGCGCAGGAAACCGGAGAGGCCCCCCACACCUAGCGCCCAACGUUUACAGCGUGGACUAC